ACUAACAAGAACUGAAGUGCAUUUUGGCUAUUGGCGCCAUUUCUAAGGUAUCAAAGCUGAUGUGUUUUGUAGUUGGAGAAUUAUCUUUUUUGUUUGCUUCAAAAUGGUACGUUCUUGUUGUGUUAAAGUCUGUGAUAGUAAAUUACACAAUAGAAAAGGUUAAAAACUCACCUCAAAGAAAGAUACUUUAGGUCUCUCACUUGAAAGAAAGAGGCAUCGGAUGGUCUGGAUAGGGCCUGUGAUACUCAAAAUCAUCAUAUUUGCCAGCAUUAAGGUAAGUAAGAGAAUUUUUUGUAGAUGUGCUUAUUUUCUAUUCCCUUCUGAUGCGCAUCGUUCAGUGUCCUGCAUUAGCCGAAAUCAUGACUGUAGAAGAGGACGGUCAGUUGCGCCCCCUGCUGGACACAUCCCAGACAGCACACGUACGUCUGGCCGACGUCGGCCCGUGAGCAGAACGUCGGCCUCAUAAACUAUAAGAUCUAAUAAGGAUCGGCCAGGUAUAGGCGAGUGUGCUCUAUUUCGCCAGCUCAUCAAAGGUCGGCCCAUGAGUUUGCUGACGACCGAAGGCCGAUGCCGCUCUUUUCUGUUUAAAUGUGGACGGUUAUUCGUCUCUUAGCAACCCACCAGAGAGAAGGCGACUCAUCCGGGACAUCUGUGGCGUUCAGGAGUUGCCAUGGAAACGGGGCGGCAACACGACACCUGACAGGAAAACUCGGUCUCUCGCUGAUGUUGUCACUGCUUUUAGGUUUCUGUCGAAUAUUUACUUUAUAGAAAUGGUUUAAUGUCUUCGACAAAGUCCGUCAUCAUCUCACAGACGAGGAGGACAGAAAUAAACCCUCCACAACAGAUGCGAAGCUGCAAGGUUUCAAAAUUUCAGUAGGAAAUAUACAGGAGAACUGAAGAAGCUCAUGAAAUAACUAAAUAUGCAUUUUUUUUCCACAAAAUAUAUUUCACCUAUAUCACCAUGCAUCAUUAUUAUUUUCUUUUUUUUCUGCAGAGUUAUAUAUUUAUUUAUUACAGUAAUUUUAAGAAACUAAAAACAUAGAUUCUGUUAUCUAGUUGUAGUAUAUUAUAUAUUCUGUAUAUUCUUUCUAUUUUCUGCAUUUUACCUGUUUAGCUUAUUUCCUUCUAAUAAACCAGCAACUGCAUACUAAAUAAUGUUGUCUCUGUGACAAAUUGCUUGUUUUGUUCCUAGAUUUUUCCAUGCUGAUGGCCUGCUGCACAUCAACAGACUCAGAGUGAACCUCCUUCUCCAAAGAACUAUAAACCAUUGGACUAGUUACUAGAGUUUACGCCAGUUCCAGAUUGGAUCCAGCCUCACUUGUGAAGACUUCAGAUGAUGACAACACUCAACAAGACUUCAGAUGAUGGCAACUGGACAUACAAAACUGACAAAUAUUAUUCUUAUAUUGCCUUUACGGGUAAGUU